UCCUACGGGAGGCAGCAGUGAGGAAUUUUGCGCAAUGGGGGAAACCCUGACGCAGCAACGCCGCGUGAGUGAAGAAGGCUUUCGGGUCGUAAAGCUCUGUCAAGUGGGAAAAAAUGCUAUCGAUAAAUAGUCGAUAGGAUUGAUGGUACCAUUAGAGGAAGCACCGGCUAACUCCGUGCCAGCAGCCGCGGUAAUACGGAGGGUGCGAGCGUUGUUCGGAAUUAUUGGGCGUAAAGAGCGUGUAGGCGGUUUGGUAAGUCAGAUGUGAAAGCCCUGGGCUCAACCCAGGAAGUGCAUUUGAUACUGCCUUACUUGAGUAUGGGAGAGGAGAGUGGAAUUCCCAGUGUAGAGGUGAAAUUCGUAGAUAUUGGGAAGAACACCCGUGGCGAAGGCGACUCUCUGGACCAAUACUGACGCUGAGACGCGAAAGCGUGGGGAGCAAACAGGAUUAGAUACCCCAGUAGUCCAAGCCG
rnacentral:rRNA from 1 species